CAGAUUGAACGCUGGCGGCAGGCCUAACACAUGCAAGUCGAGCGGAUGAGAAGAGCUUGCUCUUCGAUUCAGCGGCGGACGGGUGAGUAAUGCCUAGGAAUCUGCCUGGUAGUGGGGGACAACGUUUCGAAAGGAACGCUAAUACCGCAUACGUCCUACGGGAGAAAGCAGGGGACCUUCGGGCCUUGCGCUAUCAGAUGAGCCUAGGUCGGAUUAGCUAGUUGGUGAGGUAAUGGCUCACCAAGGCGACGAUCCGUAACUGGUCUGAGAGGAUGAUCAGUCACACUGGAACUGAGACACGGUCCAGACUCCUACGGGAGGCAGCAGUGGGGAAUAUUGGACAAUGGGCGAAAGCCUGAUCCAGCCAUGCCGCGUGUGUGAAGAAGGUCUUCGGAUUGUAAAGCACUUUAAGUUGGGAGGAAGGGCAUUAACCUAAUACGUUAGUGUUUUGACGUUACCGACAGAAUAAGCACCGGCUAACUCUGUGCCAGCAGCCGCGGUAAUACAGAGGGUGCAAGCGUUAAUCGGAAUUACUGGGCGUAAAGCGCGCGUAGGUGGUUUGUUAAGUUGRAUGUGAAAGCCCCGGGCUCAACCUGGGAACUGCAUCCAAAACUGGCAAGCUAGAGUACGGUAGAGGGUGGUGGAAUUUCCUGUGUAGCGGUGAAAUGCGUAGAUAUAGGAAGGAACACCAGUGGCGAAGGCGACCACCUGGACUGAUACUGACACUGAGGUGCGAAAGCGUGGGGAGCAAACAGGAUUAGAUACCCUGGUAGUCCACGCCGUAAACGAUGUCAACUAGCCGUUGGAAUCCUUGAGAUUUUAGUGGCGCAGCUAACGCAUU
rnacentral:rRNA from 1 species